CCGCACGCCGCCGCCGCGCACUUCCUGCACCUCGUGCGCGACCGCCGCCUCGUCGCCAACGUCGCCGCCGUCGACCGCGAGGAGGACAUCCUGGAGGUGUUCCUGAUCGACACGUCGACGGAGGAGGACGUGUGCGUGAGCUCGCAGAUGGUGCGCGCCGGGUACGCCGACCCGCGCGCCGACUCCGCCCUGCGGACGUCGGAGUGUUACCUGUUCCCGCGGUUCGACGCGCUCGAGGCCGGCGCCACGCCCAACUACGCCGAGAUACACGCCUACCUGCGCGACGGCAUCGCGCUCGACUACGUGGACGACUACCGCCGCCACGUGCCCGCCAGCCUGCCGCCGCCCGCCGC